rnacentral:rRNA from 1 species
AACUUUCAACAACGGAUCUCUUGGUUCUGGCAUCGAUGAAGAACGCAGCGAAAUGCGAUAAGUAAUGUGAAUUGCAGAAUUCAGUGAAUCAUCGAAUCUUUGAACGCACAUUGCGCCCCCUGGUAUUCCGGGGGGCAUGCCUGUCCGAGCGUCAUUACAACCCUCAAGCUCUGCUU